CUGAAACAGCAGCAGACUGUAGCAUGCAAAAGUUUCUCUGCGUCACUGAAAAAACAGCAUUCUCGAUGUUUGGUUUAUUGAUAAACUACAGUCAACAGAUGACAGACAAUGACAGCAGGAAUGUGUGCACAAAUACUUUCAUAUUUGAGUGUGUGAGAGAAACUUUGUCAAUGUCUGGUUAAUGUUUUAGUCAAUUGUAAAUAAAUGCUGUAAAGUAACAUCCCACAAUAACUCGAUGUCUUUGUUUAACCACUUUUUACUAAAUAAAACCAGUAUUGAACUACUUUAAAA